rnacentral:lncRNA from 1 species
GCAGAUACACCUGCCAACAUGCUCCUCCUGAUUUUCCUCUUGCUCCACAGAAAAGUGUGCUGGUUCAGAAAAGAAAGAGGCAGCUCUUAAAGACUGACCAUAUUUGAAGGGAAUCUAGUUCCCUGUAGGUCUGGUGUUGAUUUUCGCUGGGAGAGGAGUGUUCUGAGCGUUUGGGAACUUUUGUUGUGAGGACUUGCGCCAUCCACUCACUCUGGGAGUGAAAAGACUGGAGAUCUGGUUUGGCCCUGUCCUGAGUCUGCUGGGAGAGUUUUGACAACUCUGGUAUCCAUUUGAAUUUUGGCCGUUCUAUCUGUGUGUCCAAGGAUUUAUGCCUUUUCCUGGCUGUGUGUCCCAUGACUUCAGGAAUUUGCCAGCCAGCAUGAAGAUUAUUUUAAUGAAAAACUCUCUCAAAGUUCGGUUUCCACUACAGGAGCCCUGACUCCAGAAUCCUGAAUCCUGUUGAUUCCCAUUGAAUCCAGCAGAAGUCAGAGGGAAUACAACCCUAACAAACAGUUCAAAGCCCAUGAAGACAAACAACAAAUAAUCUUCCUUCAAUGAGCUUUACAUCAGUUUCAGAAAGGUGUAAUCCUGCUUAUUGACUUGGUUGUAGAAAGCCGUGUCUGGAGGAUGAGUGAAGGAUGACCUGUAAUGCUGCAUUUAUGGCCAUGGAGGAUCUGUAUGGCAAUGGCUUUACACAGAGCAAACACCUGCACAGGGGCCUGCAAGCUCUGCUGGGUAGGGAUGGAGGCAGCAUGGGAGGUGCUGAUGGAGGAGGGGGGACAUCUCGCCGGGUUCACCAGCAACUGCUGUGCAAGUUUGAUUUCAUCAGAUGCCACGCAAAAUGGGCAACAGCAGAGGGAGGGAGAAGGAGCACCGAGUGCACGAGUUCACACGGCAAAUUGCAUCUUCCAGCAAACACAGCUGCAGUGGUGCUCUCUCAGCCUCUUUGACCACGUUGGAGGGUUUUAGAGCACUUUGGGUGGAAGCCUGCUGCUGCACACGGCUGUUUUCCACUGUGAGUCUCCGAGCACAGCUGCACAAAACGCUGGGCUGUGGUACCACACUCCUGCACCUUGUGCUGUGCAGGGUGUCCUGCAGUGAUCCCAGCCAGUGAACAGCGAGCUGCUGCAGUUGCACCGUCCUACAGGAGCAUCCCAUGACACUCCCUUCACAGCAGCUCCUGGCUCAGAGAGAAAAUGUGCACUGAAGGGAAUGCUGGGUGGCAUCAGCAUCAGCUGCCUCCUAACAAGCUACAGCUCCCGGGGGAGUUGCUGUGAAGAGGAGAGUGCAUGGAAUUACAGCGUGGUUUUGUCUAGCCAAACUAAUUGGGGAGUGAUUUGUUUCCUCUCUUCUUUCUUAAAAUAAAAAGAUUCCUUAUCACCCCA